ensembl:lncRNA
UUGAGCUGUUGAAACACCUUUAGAAUGAUGGAACACAACAUGAUUUUGGAAAAUAAACCGAUCGAGGACGACUGCCAUCUAAAAUGCAAGCGACACCUCAUCAGUUUGUUUGGUGAAUCAGCUGCAGAGUAUUUUCUCAGCCCUUCCUCUUGCUCGAAGGAAAUACCCUCUUGGUUUUUACAGCUAAAAGAUGACAUGAAAGAUCACAUGAGUGCAGUUACUCUAUGGGAUGCUCUGAGACAACGCUCUGCACAGAUACUGCAAGAAUCAAACACAGAGCCCUCGAUGGCGAUUACUAAUGAGAUUGUGAGAAGGGUGACAGACUGGAAGACACUCAAGAAACAGGAUCAUCUGAUGUACCUAUCAGAGGUGAAAUACAUGUUCCGCUGUGCUCAGCGUAACCAGGCCAUCUCUGCACUCCUUCUACAACAUAACCCUCUUUUUGACUAUGGGUUAAAUAAUGGACUGAACUGAUUCCUGUCUAUUAUGCAGAAUCAACCAAAUGGUGAGGUGAAACAUCAACCAGGAUCAGGGAUAUGUCUCAGAUGAGCAAGACAUUUAGGACAUAGGCAAACUGUAUUUUUUUUCUGUAACUUUUAAUGUUCAGUUGCCCCAUUUAAAAACUUGCACAGGCUUGAUAAAUGAGUCAGUUGAUGUGAUUUGUACUUGCCCUUCCCUACCAUCGGAGGGCAGCAGAUUGUGAAUUUGGCUUUUAAUCUUAUUACCGAAAUAAUUCUUUUUCUCUAGCACUCAUCUGGUUUUUGCUUCAGGACCCAGACUGUACUUAUCCAACACAUAUAUAAAAACAAUAUUAUAACCUGUAUAUAUUGCCAUCUGUGUCAUAUUUUAUUGUGUGCAGUUAGACUUGAUAAGCAUAUUUUGUUUGAUAUUUAAUCUUGCUAUUAUAUUUUAUGUUUUUGAUUUUUGCAUUUAGCAUUGUUUUGUUUUUUUACCUGUGAAUCUAUGACUCUAGGCCCACCAGUUAAGUAACUGUAAUUAGCCUAUAUAAAAGCUGAAUACACAAUUUCAUUUUUUCCCCCUUGCAUUACAUUAUCUCUUCUGUGCCUCGUUAAUGUAUAUCUCAGCAAGUCAAGUAUAUCUUCAGGUGUUCAGCCUAUGUGCAACAAAGAUACCUGUUAACAGGUGAGAAGUCACUUGACAGGAGGCAGUGUCUCCACGUCACGUUGAAAUGACAUGAAACGAUAAGUGAGUGAAACAGUUUUUAGUGAAUAAAUACGUCAUUUAAUUUAAGU